rnacentral:rRNA from 1 species
UAAUACGUAGGGGGCGAGCGUUGUCCGGAAUCAUUGGGCGUAAAGAGCGUGUAGGCGGCUUGGCAAGUCUCGCGUGAAAUCCUGCGGCUCAACCGCAGGCCUGCGUGGGAUACUGCCUCGCUAGAGUCCGGAAGAGGAGAGUGGAAUUCCUGGUGUAGCGGUGGAAUGCGCAGAUAUCAGGAAGAACACCCGUGGCGAAGGCGGCUCUCUGGGACGGUACUGACGCUGAGACGCGAAAGCGUGGGGAGCGAACAGGAUUAGAUACCCUGGUAGUCCACGCCGUAAACUAUGAGAGCUAGCCGUUGGGGGAUUUAUCCCUCAGUGGCGCAGCUAACGCAUUAAGCUCUCCGCCUGGGGAGUACGGUCGCAAGAUUA